UAAACGCCCUGGAGCCGCCUUUGGACGAUUUUUUGUAACGGAAGUGCAGAGAGCGACACGGAGGCGUCGGCGACUCAGGUCCCAACGCCUGACCCAAGGUUCCUCGGAGCGCUUCCACACGUCUUCGCCACCAGACACCCACCGGCAAGCUCUCUAGCCCGCGCCCCCGCUUCUAACGGCCCGGCCCGGUGCCCACAGCUCGGGGCCUCCCGGAGCGCCCCUCCGGAGAACAGUGAAAAUUUCUCUUCAAAUAGAAUCUGCACUGAAAACCCAAAAUGGAAACUGAGUAAUAGCAGAGCUGCUUUGGGAGUUACCUGUGGUCAACCAAGGUCUGGAAGCAGAUGGUCCUCCUUCUGACCUAUCACCAAGUCAGUAGCACUCUGACACUGCAUCACUGUGCCUACAUUGCUCACCUCACUUCAUCUUGUCAAGUAGACACUUUCUCAUCUGACAUCAUCAAGAGAAGACAAAGGAUGAAGAAACUGAUGACUGAAGACAUUAAGAAGUAAUCCCCUUGGUCACUGAG